rnacentral:misc_RNA from 1 species
GUAAUUUAUUAUAGGAAGUUUUUUAUGAAUUUUAUUUUUUAUAUAGAAAAUUUUACUUUAAGUAAUUAUCAAUUACUUUUUUCCUAUCAUAAACCAAGUCAAACAUCAACAAAGAGUUAGUUAGUAAAGAAUGAAUGCAUUGCGAAAUAGGGAUAAAAACAAAUCCAUAAGGAAACCAAGUAGUAAAGGUCAACUGUUGCACUAGAAUACCAUCCUGUCAUACUGGUAAUUAUUACUUUAUUGCUUAGUGUUGAUGAAUAGAUGAUGGCUGUAAUAAUUUUUCACUUACUAAAGCCUUGAAAGGAUAAAAAAUACACUAUUCUAGAAUCUGAUUUAAUUAAGUUUUUUAGAAUACUAAUUUAAUUAAUUAAUAACCCUAUAGUGAAGUAUUAGGUUUUUCCACAUUUAUUAUUGAAUUUUUAAUCUUUUAGAUUAUAAGAUACAUUUAAUAAUUAUAUUAUUAUUAAUAUAAUAAUAUUAAUUAUUAAAUAAAGUUGAACUCGUACGU